CUGUGGGUAGGGGUGAAAGGCCAAUCAAACUCCGUGAUAGCUGGUUCUCCCCGAAAUGCAUUUAGGUGCAGCGUUGCGUGGUCCCUGGUGGAGGUAGAGCUACUGGAUGGCCGAUGGGCCCUGUGGGUUACUGACGUCAGCCAAACUCCGAAUGCCAUUAGGUGUAGCGUGGCAGUGAGACUGCGGGGGAUAAGCUUCGUAGUCGAGAGGGAAACAGCCCAGAUCAUCAGCUAAGGCCCCUAAGCGUACGCUAAGUGGGAAAGGAUGUGGAGUCGCGGUGACAACCAGGAGGUUGGCUUAGAAGCAGCCAUCCUUGAAAGAGUGCGUAAUAGCUCACUGGUCAAGUGAUCGUGCGCCGACAAUGUAGCGGGGCUCAAGCACACCGCCGAAGCCGCGGAUCCUCAACAAGCACCCUGUCGCUGUGCGGCCAGGGGUUGGGGGUGGUAGGGGAGCGUUGUGUACUGGGUGAAGCGGCCGAGUAAUUGUGUCGUGGACGGUACGCAAGUGAGAAUGCAGGCAUGAGUAGCGAUACUAGGGUGAGAAACCCUAGCGCCGAAUGACCAAGGGUUCCAGGGCUAGGCUAGUCCGCCCUGGGUGAGUCGGGUCCUAAGGCGAGGCCGACAGGCGUAGUCGAUGGAUAACCGGUUGAUAUUCCGGUACCGGCUGGUGACCGUCAAGUGUUGACUGAAAGGUACUAACCCACGCUAAAAACAUGGCUGAAUGCCUUUUGGGUGUUUGGUUGUGGUUUUGGUUUGGGGACAGGCUUUCUUGGUAGGCAAGCGUGUGGAGUGACGCACAGUGGAAGCCUUCGCGAGGUGAUGGUAUACCUCGUUUAACCGUGUAGCUUACUGCUUAGGUAAAUCCGGGUGGUUUUAUGUGAGGCGGGAUGAUGACCACUUUUUGGGUGGGAAGUAGGGGUGAUCCUGUGGUGCCGAGAAAAGCUUCGACGCGAGGUGGCUGGCCGCCCGUACCCUAAACCGACACAGGUGGUCGGGCAGAGUAUGCCUAGGCGCACGAGAUAAUCAUGGUUAAGGAACUCGGCAAAAUGCCCCCGUAACUUCGGGAGAAGGGGGGCCUGAUACUUGAUGAAACCAUUUUUUGUGGCUUUCUAGGGUUGAGGGUCGCAGAGACCAGGGAGAAGCGACUGUUUACUAAAAACACAGGUGCGUGCGAAGCCGUAAGGCGAUGUAUACGUACUGACGCCUGCCCGGUGCUGGAAGGUUAAGAGGAACCGUCAACCUUUGUUGGUGAAGCGGUGAAUUUAAGCCCCAGUAAACGGCGGUGGUAACUAUAACCAUCCUAAGGUAGCGAAAUUCCUUGUCGGGUAAGUUCCGACCUGCACGAAUGGCGUAACGACUUCUC
rnacentral:rRNA from 1 species